GACGAACGCUGGCGGCGUGCCUAAUACAUGCAAGUAGAACGCUGAAGAGAGGAGCUUGCUCUUCUUGGAUGAGUUGCGAACGGGUGAGUAACGCGUAGGUAACCUGCCUUGUAGCGGGGGAUAACUAUUGGAAACGAUAGCUAAUACCGCAUAACAAUGGAUGACACAUGUCAUUUAUUUGAAAGGGGCAAUUGCUCCACUACAAGAUGGACCUGCGUUGUAUUAGCUAGUAGGUGAGGUAACGGCUCACCUAGGCGACGAUACAUAGCCGACCUGAGAGGGUGAUCGGCCACACUGGGACUGAGACACGGCCCAGACUCCUACGGGAGGCAGCAGUAGGGAAUCUUCGGCAAUGGGGGCAACCCUGACCGAGCAACGCCGCGUGAGUGAAGAAGGUUUUCGGAUCGUAAAGCUCUGUUGUAAGUCAAGAACGAGUGUGAGAGUGGAAAGUUCACACUGUGACGGUAGCUUACCAGAAAGGGACGGCUAACUACGUGCCAGCAGCCGCGGUAAUACGUAGGUCCCGAGCGUUGUCCAGAUUUAUUGGGCGUAAAGCGAGCGCAGGCGGUUUGAUAAGUCUGAAGUUAAAGGCUGUGGCUCAACCAUAGUUCGCUUUGGAAACUGUCAAACUUGAGUGCAGAAGGGGAGAGUGGAAUUCCAUGUGUAGCGGUGAAAUGCGUAGAUAUGUGGAGGAACACCGGUGGCGAAAGCGGCUCUCUGGUCUGUAACUGACGCUGAGGCCCGAAAGCGUGGGGAGCGAACAGGAUUAGAUACCCUGGUAGUCCACGCCGUAAACGAUGAGUGCUAGGUGUUGGAUCCUUUCCGGGAUUCAGUGCCGCAGCUAACGCAUUAAGCACUCCGCCUGGGGAGUACGACCGCAAGGUUGAAACUCAAAGGAAUUGACGGGGGCCCGCACAAGCGGUGGAGCAUGUGGUUUAAUUCGAAGCAACGCGAAGAACCUUACCAGGUCUUGACAUCCCGAUGCUAUUUCUAGAGAUAGAAAGUUACUUCGGUACAUCGGUGACAGGUGGUGCAUGGUUGUCGUCAGCUCGUGUCGUGAGAUGUUGGGUUAAGUCCCGCAACGAGCGCAACCCCUAUUGUUAGUUGCCAUCAUUCAGUUGGGCACUCUAGCGAGACUGCCGGUAAUAAACCGGAGGAAGGUGGGGAUGACGUCAAAUCAUCAUGCCCCUUAUGACCUGGGCUACACACGUGCUACAAUGGUUGGUACAACGAGUUGCGAGUCGGUGACGGCAAGCUAAUCUCUUAAAGCCAAUCUCAGUUCGGAUUGUAGGCUGCAACUCGCCUACAUGAAGUCGGAAUCGCUAGUAAUCGCGGAUCAGCACGCCGCGGUGAAUACGUUCCCGGGCCU
rnacentral:rRNA from 1 species